rnacentral:misc_RNA from 1 species
AAAAGGUCAUGGCUUUGAUGGAGAAAAAAAUCAUGGUCUUGCAAUUCUAAUUGAUCAGAAGAAAGAAAAGAAGAAGGCAAGUGGAAGAAAGAAAAAGGAAAUUCAUCAUGUUUAGAAUUGAGAGUGAUGUCAUUGAAAAAGGGCCUGUUGUGACCUUCUUGUUGGUCACUAUAGCAGAUGGGGUCAUUGCCAUUGUUGCUUGACGGAAACAUAUUCAAGAAUUGUGAAGUUUCUUUACAAUGGGCAAUAGACAACAAGACCUAACUGUCUCUGUUAGAUAGAAUUAAGCUGGCAGCUGGAGUGGAGAGUAGUAGUAUUACACUGGAGCUUGUGAAUGACCCAUAUACGUAUAUACACACCACCGGAAUAAGAUAGAAUUAUUAUAUUAGCUACUUAGCUUUAGCUAGGACAUUAAUCUCGCUAUAGCUCUAGCAAAUCCCAUAUCUUUUUCAAUUUCAUCAACCUCUUUCUCUUGAUCUUCCCUCUCCCGCAGAGCCAAAGGACUAGAGCAUGAGAAAGACAGCAGAGCACAAGUACCGUAUGUCCAUGGGGGCUGCAAAGAC